rnacentral:rRNA from 1 species
UGGGGAAUUUUGGACAAUGGGGGAAACCCUGAUCCAGCCAUCCCGCGUGUGCGAUGAAGGCCUUCGGGUUGUAAAGCACUUUUGGCAGGAAAGAAACGUCGCGGGUUAAUACCCCGCGAAACUGACGGUACCUGCAGAAUAAGCACCGGCUAACUACGUGCCAGCAGCCGCGGUAAUACGUAGGGUGCAAGCGUUAAUCGGAAUUACUGGGCGUAAAGCGUGCGCAGGCGGUUCGGAAAGAAAGAUGUGAAAUCCCAGAGCUUAACUUUGGAACUGCAUUUUUAACUACCGGGCUAGAGUGUGUCAGAGGGAGGUGGAAUUCCGCGUGUAGCAGUGAAAUGCGUAGAUAUGCGGAGGAACACCGAUGGCGAAGGCAGCCUCCUGGGAUAACACUGACGCUCAUGCACGAAAGCGUGGGGAGCAAACAGGAUUAGAUACCCUGGUAGUCCACGCCCUAAACGAUGUCAACUAGCUGUUGGGGCCUUCGGGCCUUGGUAGCGCAGCUAACGCGUGAAGUUGACCGCCUGGGGAGUACGGUCGCAAGAUUAAAACUUAAAGGAAUUGACGGGGGUGCAUAGCUU